ensembl:snRNA U6 U6 spliceosomal RNA
GUGCUCGCUUCGGCAGCACGUAUACUGCAAUUGGAACGAUACAAAGAGGACUACCAUGGCUCUGCGCAAGGAUGACACGCAAACUCAUGAAGUGUUCCAUAUUUUU